rnacentral:rRNA from 1 species
CCUACGGGUGGCAGCAGUGGGGAAUAUUGGGCAAUGGGCGCAAGCCUGACCCAGCAACGCCGCGUGAAGGAAGAAGGCUUUCGGGUUGUAAACUUCUUUUCUGAGGGACGAAACAAGGGACGGUACCUGAGGAAUAAGCCACGGCUAACUACGUGCCAGCAGCCGCGGUAAUACGUAGGUGGCAAGCGUUAUCCGGAUUUACUGGGUGUAAAGGGCGUGUAGGCGGGACUGCAAGUCAGAUGUGAAAACCACGGGCUCAACCUGUGGCCUGCAUUUGAAACUGUAGUUCUUGAGUACUGGGGAGGCAGACGGAAUUCCUAGUGUAGCGGUGAAAUGCGUAGAUAUUAGGAGGAACACCAGUGGCGAAGGCGGUCUGCUGGACAGCAACUGACACUGAGGCGCGAAAGCGUGGGGAGCGAACAGGAUUAGAUACCCCAGUAGUC